GGCGGGGUGCCGGAGCGGUCGAACGGGGCGGUCUUGAAAACCGCUGGCGGCCGAAAGGUCGCCCGUGGGUUCAAAUCCCACCCCCGCCGCCA
rnacentral:tRNA from 1 species